CGGGAGCCGGCUCACUGAGCCGCGGUGUCAGAAGCUGGCGGUUCUCCUCAGCACCUGUGGACCCCGCUUACGUCUCUUCGCGGGGCACAGCACCCCGGAACCUCCGCGUGCAAGGACAGUGGCCUGAGGACGCCCUCUUUCACUUCCUGCGUUUCCUCCUCCACACAGACUACGAGGGAGUGCGCGUCGCUUGUGAAGAUGCUUCUUAGCUCAGAGUCAUGGAUGCUCCCUAGCCAAGCUCCUGCAUCUUUUCUGUAUGGAAGAGGUUGGACCAGAGCAGCACCAGCCUUGACUGCGAAAAGCCAAGGUCAGAACGUGGAGGUAGAAGACAUCUCACCAAAAGCAUCCAAGAGGAACCGCUCUUGCUUCUUUCAGUGGAUCCCUUCAGAAGGCCCUUCACAAGGUGUUGGGCGGACGCAAGAGAAACGAGGGAGCUGAGAAGGACGAGCUCCCAAUGACCACGCAGAGGAUCGACUCCUCCGUCAAAUACCGCCGACUGGUCACAACUACUGGACAGUUUCCCAGGUCCUCGGGAUGCGAAUGGGACCGAAAGGCGAGCCUGGCACCUUGUGCCUCACCUCAUCUCCUUAUGACAUUCAAAUAAAUACUAAUCAAAAGGUGAUUUACAUCUCUGCUGCAGUGAUUGCUCAAAAUGCCAAGGGAAAAAGACCACCUUAGUGCACAGCAAAACUCAAAACUCCUCUCCCCAGGCUGUCUCUGUUCUCAUCAUUCCGUAGCCCCUAAGACUAGUGCAUAAAUCAAACCCUAACAGUCUUUUUCUCA